CAGUCGCCACGGUAAUACGGAGGGUGCAAGCGUUAAUCGGAAUUACUGGGCGUAAAGCGCACGCAGGCGGUCUGACAAGUCAGAUGUGAAAUCCCCGGGCUUAACCUGGGAACUGCAUUUGAAACUGUCAGGCUGGAGUCUUGUAGAGGGGGGUGGAAUUCCAGGUGUAGCGGUGAAAUGCGUAGAGAUCUGGAGGAAUACCGGUGGCGAAGGCGGCCCCCUGGACAAAGACUGACGCUCAGGUGCGAAAGCGUGGGGAGCAAACAGGAUUAGAUACCCGUGUAGUCCCUGUCUCUUAUAA
rnacentral:rRNA from 1 species